GACGAACGCUGGCGGCGUGCUUAACACAUGCAAGUCGAACGGUGAAGCGCCUUCCUUUUUGGUGGGUGUGGAUGAGUGGCGAACGGGUGAGUAACACGUGAGUAACCUGCCCCCUUCUUCUGGAUAACCGCAUGAAAGUGUGGCUAAUACGGGAUAUUCUGGGUCUGUCGCAUGAUGGGUCUGGGAAAGAUAUUGUUUCGGUGGGGGAUGGGCUCGCGGCCUAUCAGCUUGUUGGUGGGGUGAUGGCCUACCAAGGCGGUGACGGGUAGCCGGCCUGAGAGGGUGGACGGUCACACUGGGGCUAAGACGCGGCCCAGACUCCUACGGGAGGCAGCAGUGGGGAAUAUUGCACAAGGGGCGCAAGCCUGAUGCAGCGACGCCGCGUGAGGGAUGGAGGCCUUCGGGUUGUGAACCUCUUUCGCCAGUGAAGCAGGCCUGCCUCGUUUGUGGGUGGGUUGACGGUAGCUGGAUAAGAAGCGCCGGCUAACUACGUG
rnacentral:rRNA from 1 species